rnacentral:rRNA from 1 species
UAGAUACCCUGGUAGUCCACGCCGUAAACGAUGUCGACUUGGAGGUUGUGCCCUUGAGGCGUGGCUUCCGGAGCUAACGCGUUAAGUCGACCGCCUGGGGAGUACGGCCGCAAGGUUAAAACUCAAAUGAAUUGACGGGGGCCCGCACAAGCGGUGGAGCAUGUGGUUUAAUUCGAUGCAACGCGAAGAACCUUACCUACUCUUGACAUCCAGAGAACUUAGCAGAGAUGCUUUGGUGCCUUCGGGAACU